UACGUAGGGGGCAAGCGUUGUCCGGAAUCAUUGGGCGUAAAGAGCGCGUAGGCGGUCCGGUAAGUCCGCUCUGAAAGUCCGGGGCUCAACCCCGGGAGGCGGGCGGAUACUGCCGGGCUAGAGUCCGGAAGAGGCGAGUGGAAUUCCUGGUGUAGCGGUGAAAUGCGCAGAUAUCAGGAGGAACACCGGUGGCGAAGGCGGGUCUCUGGGCCGAUAUUGACGCUGAGGAGCGAAAGCGUGGGGAGCGAACAGG
rnacentral:rRNA from 1 species